GGGGCUGAUUCUGGAUUCGACGGGAUUUGCGAAACCCAAGGUGCAUGCCGAGGGGCGGUUGGCCUCGUAAAAAGCCGCAAAAAAUAGUCGCAAACGACGAAAACUACGCUUUAGCAGCUUAAUAACCUGCUUAGAGCCCUCUCUCCCUAGCCUCCGCUCUUAGGACGGGGAUCAAGAGAGGUCAAACCCAAAAGAGAUCGCGUGGAAGCCCUGCCUGGGGUUGAAGCGUUAAAACUUAAUCAGGCUAGUUUGUUAGUGGCGUGUCCGUCCGCAGCUGGCAAGCGAAUAUAAAGACUGACUAAGCAUGUAGUACCGAGGACGUAGGAAUUUCGGACGCGGGUUCAACUCCCGCCAGCUCCACCA
rnacentral:tmRNA from 1 species